rnacentral:rRNA from 3 species
CUUUGGGUGUGACUGCGUACCUUUUGUAUAAUGGGUCAGCGACUUAUAUUCUGUAGCAAGGUUAACCGAAUAGGGGAGCCGGAGGGAAACCGAGUCUUAACCGGGCGUUAAGUUGCAGGGUAUAGACCCGAAACCCGGUGAUCUAGCCAUGGGCAGGUUGAAGGUUGGGUAACACUAACUGGAGGACCGAACCGACUAAUGUUGAAAAAUUAGCGGAUGACCUGUGGCUGGGGGUGAAAGGCCAAUCAAACCGGGAGAUAGCUGGUUCUCCCCGAAAGCUAUUUAGGUAGCGCCUCGUGAAUUCAUCUCCGGGGGUAGAGCACUGUUUCGGCUAGGGGGCCAUCCCGGCUUACCAACCCGAUGCAAACUGCGAAUACCGGAGAAUGUUAUCACGGGAGACACACGGCGGGUGCUAACGUCCGUCGUGAAGAGGGAAACAACCCAGACCGCCAGCUAAGGUCCCAAAGUCAUGGUUAAGUGGGAAACGAUGUGGGAAGGCCCAGACAGCCAGGAUGUUGGCUUAGAAGCAGCCAUCAUUUAAAGAAAGCGUAAUAGCUCACUGGUCGAGUCGGCCUGCGCGGAAGAUGUAACGGGGCUAAACCAUGCACCGAAGCUGCGGCAGCGACACUGUGUGUUGUUGGGUA